rnacentral:rRNA from 1 species
GAUGAACGCUGGCGGCGUGCCUAAUACAUGCAAGUCGAGCGAACAGACGAGGAGCUUGCUCCUCUGACGUUAGCGGCGGACGGGUGAGUAACACGUGGAUAACCUACCUAUAAGACUGGGAUAACUUCGGGAAACCGGAGCUAAUACCGGAUAAUAUAUUGAACCGCAUGGUUCAAUAGUGAAAGACGGUUUUGCUGUCACUUAUAGAUGGAUCCGCGCCGCAUUAGCUAGUUGGUAAGGUAACGGCUUACCAAGGGAACGAUGCGUAGCCGACCUGACAGAGUGAUCGGCCACACUGGAACUGAGACACGGUCCAGACUCCUACGGGAGGCAGCAGUAGGGAAUCUUCCGCAAUGGGCGAAAGCCUGACGGAGCAACGCCGCGUGAGUGAUGAAGGUCUUCGGAUCGUAAAACUCUGUUAUUAGGGAAGAACAAAUGUGUAAGUAACUAUGCACGUCUUGACGGUACCUAAUCAGAAAGCCACGGCUAACUACGUG